UACAGAGGUCCCAAGCGUUGUUCGGAUUCACUGGGCGUAAAGGGUGCGUAGGUGGCAAGGUAAGUUUGAUGUGAAAUCUUCGAGCUCAACUCGGAAACUGCAUUGAAUACUAUCUUGCUUGAGGAUUGGAGGGGAGGCUGGAAUUCUCGGUGUAGCAGUGAAAUGCGUAGAUAUCGAGAGGAACACCAGUGGCGAAAGCGGCUUCCUGGACCAGCACCGACGUUCAGGCACGAAAGCGUGGGGAGCAAACAGG
rnacentral:rRNA from 1 species